ACGCGCACUCUCGUUUCAGCCUGAUUGGCACCGAGUCACGAGGAAAAGACGCAACACAUGGUAGCAACACAGUGCCGGGAUGUUUACUUUGAAAAUUAACCGUGGUGUUGGGGGGUGGGGGAAGUUUGUUAACUUUUCAGUAUCAGUGCAAACUCGAAGUCUCUAAACUUUGUACAACUUUGACAAUGGGAUGAAAGCGAACACAAGAGAGAUGUUGAAGUUAAGGUGGAAUUACAGCAAGCAGUGAAGUUGAAAGUCCCGUUGGAAUUACUGGUGAAAAAAUCAUGUUUAUGCACUUCCAUCUUGUGGCGGGCACUUUUAGAGGAACUGGAGAUGGGCGAUGAAUGCUUCUUUGCAGACUGUAAUUAUAAAGAACUAUGUGAGGAAGCUUGGCAUCGCAUCUGCUAGGAUAUGGACCUCCCUUCAAGACAAGACAGUGAUUGUUUCAUUUGAUUUGACAGUACCUCCCCUGUUGUCUCAGCAAAAGAAGCCAAAAAGGCCAGGGCACGCUAACAUGUAUGUUUUUCCCUAAAAUUAAAAACUUUGAA